UACGUAGGGACCAAGCGUUGUUCGGAAUUACUGGGCGUAAAGCGCGUGUAGGCAGCUUGGCAAGUCGGGUGUGAAAGCCCUGGGCUCAACCUAGGAAGUGCACUCGAAACUGCUUCGCUUGAGUAUCGGAGAGGAAAGCGGAAUUCUCGGUGUAGAGGUGAAAUUCGUAGAUAUCGAGAGGAACACCAGUGGCGAAGGCGGCUUUCUGGACGAUCACUGACGCUGAGACGCGAAAGCGUGGGGAGCAAACAGG
rnacentral:rRNA from 1 species